UACAUUGAGAAGUCCUGUCGGAAGCGUCUUCCUUGCUUCUCUAAACCAGGACUGCUGCUAUUAAGCAGAUAAAGAUCUCAUCAUUGUCCUCAAGAUUGAGAUCUGAUGUUUAACUCAACCUUAUUCGGAUCCAAUCAUCAUCUAUCCGUACCUCCUCUCGGAGAAGUAUACGUUCCUCCUCUCGGAGCAGUAUCCGUUCCUCCUCUCGGAGAAGUAUCCGUACCUCCUCUCGGAGAAGUCCCGUCGGAAGCAUCUGUGUUUCUCUAAACCGGGACUGCUGCUUUCGAGCAGAUAAAGUUAUGUAUAAGAGACAGCUGGUAACAAUCAUCCAACUUUAGAGCUAUUAAAUUCUCCGGCCUAAUCAACUUUUUCACGGGUCCUAGCUCUGUAUCGCUGUACCAGAAAUAAAGAAUAUAAGAGAUUCAUGUGUAUUAAAGAGGUGCGCAAUGGAGAAUUGAUGUUGCCCCAUCAUGUUAAUAGCUAAACAAUUCCUGUGGAUCUAGGUAUUGUUUCUAGGGAAAAUGCUAAAAUUCCCAAAACGG